GAACGCACCUUGCGCCCUUUGGCUAUUCCGAAGGGCAUGCCUGUUUGAGUAUCAUGAACACCUCAACUCUCAUGGUUUGCCAUGAUGAGCUUGGACUUUGGGGGACUUGCUGGCCUAUGGUCGGCUCCUCUCAAAUGAAUCAGCUUACCAGUGUUUGGUGGCGUCACAGGUGUGAUAACUAUCUACGCUUGCGGCUUUCCAUCAGGUAACCUUCAGUGAUGGAGGUUUGCUGGGGGCUCAUAAAUGUCUCUCCUCGGUGAGGACAGCUUUUUGAACGUUUGAUCUCAAAUCAGGUAGGACUACCCGCUGAACUUA
rnacentral:misc_RNA from 1 species